AGUGACUGCGGAGGACAUUAUUGAGUUUUGAACGGGUUGUAGCUGGCCUCUUCCAUAGGGCAUGUGCACGCCUGGCUCAUUCCACUCUCAACCUCUGUGAACUUUUUGUAGAAACGGUCUUGGAAGCUGGCGAUAAAAAGUUGGUAGAAAAGACCUUUCUAUGUUAUUAUUAUUACAAACGUUUCAGUUAUAGAAUGUUUACUUGCGAAUAAAACGCAUUUAUAUACAACUUUCAGCAACGGAUCUCUUGGCUCUCGCAUCGAUGAAGAACGCAGCGAAAUGCGAUAAGUAAUGUGAAUUGCAGAAUUCAGUGAAUCAUCGAAUCUUUGAACGCACCUUGCGCUCCUUGGUAUUCCGAGGAGCAUGCCUGUUUGAGUAUCAUGGAAUUCUCAACUCCUGAUUUUUUUAAAUAAAAAUUGGUGAGCUUGGAUUUGGAGGCUUGUGUCGGCUUUUUCUUGUUAAGAGUCGACUCCUCUGAAAUGGAUUAGCCUGAGUCUUACGAAUCGCCUUCAGUGUGAUAAUUGUCUACGCUGUGGCUGUGACGUAUAAAUAUAUUCAUGCUUAUAAUCGUCUCUUGAAGACAAUUUUAUGACUUCUGAUCUCAAAUCAGGUAGGACUACCCGCUGAACUUAAGCAUAUCAAAGGCCCGGAGGGAA
rnacentral:rRNA from 1 species